GAUGAAGAACGCAGCGAAAUGUGAUAAGUAGUGUGAAUUGCAGAAUUCCGUGAAUCAUCGAAUCUUUGAACGCACAUUGCGCCUUCUGGUAUUCCGGAAGGCAUGCCUGUUCGAGAGUCAUUAACAACCGUUUCGAUCCCUUUCUUUCAGAAAUUACAAAGAGGAAAAGGGUUUGGUUAUGGUGGAGGAGGGAAAGGGAGCGUUUAGCCUGUAAAAAAAGAGGCUGUGUUCCGCCUCCCCCCCAAAAUUGUACAGGCGGUCGUGUGCGCCCACGCAUCGAGGUGUUGUAAAAGCUGCCACGGCACUUUUCACCUGUGCAGUGCGAGAUUGGCCAGCCGGUUUAAAAACCCCUCCAAACAAUCAAAGGUUGACCUCGGAUCAGGCAGGGAUACCCGCUGAACUUAAGCAUAUCAAUAAGCGGAGGA
rnacentral:misc_RNA from 1 species